UGGAUUUUGCAGGAGGGCGCACGACCGGGCUUUGCUCAGGCCGCGCGCCUACCUGCUUUUUGUCGGGGACUACGCCACUCUUAACUGGGGGGCGCUAGGACGCGGCUCGUUUACUUUGAAAAAAUUAGAGCGUUCAAAGCAGGCCUUUGCUUGAAUACAUUAGCAUGGAAUAAUGGAAUAGGACUUUGGUUCUAUUUUGUUGGUUUCUGGAACCGAAGUAAUGAUUAAUAGGGAUAGUUGGGGGCGUUUAUAUUUCCAUGUCAGAGGUGAAAUUCUUGGAUUUUGGAAAGAUAAACUUCUGCGAAAGCAUUCGCCAAGGAUGUUUUCAUUAAUCAAGAACGAAAGUUAGGGGAUCGAAGACGAUCAGAUACCGCCGUAGUCUUAACCAUAAACUAUGCCGACUAGGGAUCAGUGGACGUUAUUUUAUGACUCCAUUGGCACCUUGUGAGAAAUCAAAGUUUU
rnacentral:rRNA from 1 species